rnacentral:rRNA from 1 species
GGCAGAUCCAUUUUCUGCCACCGAAUACAUUAGCAUGGGAUAAUGGAAUAGGACCCUGUCCUCCUAUUUUCAGUUGGUUUUGGCAGCGCGAGGACUAGGGUAAUGAUUAAUAGGGAUAGUUGGGGGCAUUAAUAUUUAAUUGUCAGAGGUGAAAUUCUUGGAUUUAUGAAAGAUUAACUUCUGCGAAAGCAUCUGCCAAGGAUGUUUUCAUUAAUCAAGAACGAAAGUUAGGGGAUCGAAGACGAUCAGAUACCGUCGUAGUCUUAACCAUAAACGAUGCCGACCAGCGAUUAGGAGACGUUGAAUACAAAACACCACCAUCGGCGCGGUCGUCCUUGGCGUCGGUCCUUCACGGGGCCGGCGCGAGGGCGGCUUAGCCCGGUGGCACCGGUGAAUGACUCCCCUAGCCUUUGGGUGNGAAAA